rnacentral:rRNA from 1 species
UACGUAGGGGGCAAGCGUUGUCCGGAAUUAUUGGGCGUAAAGCGCGCGCAGGCGGCUAUUUAAGUCUGGUGUUUAAACCUUGGGCUCAACCUGAGGUCGCACUGGAAACUGGGUGGCUUGAGUACAGAAGAGGAAAGUGGAAUUCCACGUGUAGCGGUGAAAUGCGUAGAGAUGUGGAGGAACACCAGUGGCGAAGGCGACUUUCUGGGCUGUAACUGACGCUGAGGCGCGAAAGCGUGGGGAGCAAACAGG